rnacentral:sRNA from 1 species
UCCCUCAUACGGCGUAAGAGUUGAGAG